rnacentral:rRNA from 1 species
AUGAAGAAGAUACCAGGGUUGCUAUUGGAUAGUGAAGAUGAUCAAUUUGAGCCACUAGCAUUUGUCCUACCAAAAGGAAGGAAGAGUAGGGCCAUGAAAAGGCCAGCAAGGAUAUGGUACAAUGAAAAACUAGAGCAACCACAUCAACAACUAUGUAUGCACAUGUGUUUCACAAACCAGCAGCAAUUCAGAGAUGCUCUGUUGAGCUUGCACAUUACACAAGUCAGAAAUUUUAGGUAUCAUAGAAACUCAGACAAAAGGAUAAUUGUUGAAUGCAAACAGGAGCAUUGUCAGUUCUCAUAG